GAAACCGAGUCUUAACCGGGCGUUAAGUUGCAGGGUAUAGACCCGAAACCCGGUGAUCUAGCCAUGGGCAGGUUGAAGGUUGGGUAACACUAACUGGAGGACCGAACCGACUAAUGUUGAAAAAUUAGCGGAUGACUUGUGGCUGGGGGUGAAAGGCCAAUCAAACCGGGAGAUAGCUGGUUCUCCCCGAAAGCUAUUUAGGUAGCGCCUCGUGAAUUCAUCUCCGGGGGUAGAGCACUGUUUCGGCAAGGGGGUCAUCCCGACUUACCAACCCGAUGCAAACUGCGAAUACCGGAGAAUGUUAUCACGGGAGACACACGGCGGGUGCUAACGUCCGUCGUGAAGAGGGAAACAACCCAGACCGCCAGCUAAGGUCCCAAAGUCAUGGUUAAGUGGGAAACGAUGUGGGAAGGCCCAGACAGCCAGGAUGUUGGCUUAGAAGCAGCCAUCAUUUAAAGAAAGCGUAAUAGCUCACUGGUCGAGUCGGCCUGCGCGGAAGAUGUAACGGGGCUAAACCAUGCACCGAAGCUGCGGCAGCGACACUGUGUGUUGUUGGGUAGGGGAGCGUUCUGUAAGCCUGUGAAGGUGUGCUGUGAGGCAUGCUGGAGGUAUCAGAAGUGCGAAUGCUGACAUAAGUAACGAUAAAGCGGGUGAAAAGCCCGCUCGCCGGAAGACCAAGGGUUCCUGUCCAACGUUAAUCGGGGCAGGGUGAGUCGACCCCUAAGGCGAGGCCGAAAGGCGUAGUCGAUGGGAAACAGGUUAAUAUUCCUGUACUUGGUGUUACUGCGAAGGGGGGACGGAGAAGGCUAUGUUGGCCGGGCGACGGUUGUCCCGGUUUAAGCGUGUAGGCUGGUUUUCCAGGCAAAUCCGGAAAAUCAAGGCUGAGGCGUGAUGACGAGGCACUACGGUGCUGAAGCAACAAAUGCCCUGCUUCCAGGAAAAGCCUCUAAGCAUCAGGUAACAUCAAAUCGUACCCCAAACCGACACAGGUGGUCAGGUAGAGAAUACCAAGGCGCUUGAGAGAACUCGGGUGAAGGAACUAGGCAAAAUGGUGCCGUAACUUCGGGAGAAGGCACGCUGAUAUGUAGGUGAAGUCCCUCGCGGAUGGAGCUGAAAUCAGUCGAAGAUACCAGCUGGCUGCAACUGUUUAUUAAAAACACAGCACUGUGCAAACACGAAAGUGGACGUAUACGGUGUGACGCCUGCCCGGUGCCGGAAGGUUAAUUGAUGGGGUCAGCGCAAGCGAAGCUCUUGAUCGAAGCCCCGGUAAACGGCGGCCGUAACUAUAACGGUCCUAAGGUAGCGAAAUUCCUUGUCGGGUAAGUUCCGACCUGCACGAAUGGCGUAAUGAUGGCCAGGCUGUCUCCACCCGAGACUCAGUGAAAUUGAACUCGCUGUGAAGAUGCAGUGUACCCGCGGCAAGACGGAAAGACCCCGUGAACCUUUACUAUAGCUUGACACUGAACAUUGAGCCUUGAUGUGUAGGAUAGGUGGGAGGCUUUGAAGUGUGGACGCCAGUCUGCAUGGAGCCGACCUUGAAAUACCACCCUUUAAUGUUUGAUGUUCUAACGUGGACCCGUGAUCCGGGUUGCGGACAGUGUCUGGUGGGUAGUUUGACUGGGGCGGUCUCCUCCUAAAGAGUAACGGAGGAGCACGAAGGUUGGCUAAUCCUGGUCGGACAUCAGGAGGUUAGUGCAAUGGCAUAAGCCAGCUUGACUGCGAGCGUGACGGCGCGAGCAGGUGCGAAAGCAGGUCAUAGUGAUCCGGUGGUUCUGAAUGGAAGGGCCAUCGCUCAACGGAUAAAAGGUACUCCGGGGAUAACAGGCUGAUACCGCCCAAGAGUUCAUAUCGACGGCGGUGUUUGGCACCUCGAUGUCGGCUCAUCACAUCCUGGGGCUGAAGUAGGUCCCAAGGGUAUGGCUGUUCGCCAUUUAAAGUGGUACGCGAGCUGGGUUUAGAACGUCGUGAGACAGUUCGGUCCCUAUCUGCCGUGGGCGCUGGAGAACUGAGGGGGGCUGCUCCUAGUACGAGAGGACCGGAGUGGACGCAUCACUGGUGUUCGGGUUGUCAUGCCAAUGGCACUGCCCGGUAGCUAAAUGCGGAAGAGAUAAGUGCUGAAAGCAUCUAAGCACGAAACUUGCCCCGAGAUGAGUUCUCCCUGACCCUUUAAGGGUCCUGAAGGAACGUUGAAGACGACGACGUUGAUAGGCCGGGUGUGUAAGCGCAGCGAUGCGUUGAGCUAACCGGUACUAAUGAACCGUGAGGCUUAACCUUACAACGCCGAAGGUGUUU
rnacentral:rRNA from 1 species